CCUACGGGUGGCUGCAGUGGGGAAUAUUGCACAAUGGGCGCAAGCCUGAUGCAGCCAUGCCGCGUGUGUGAAGAAGGCCUUCGGGUUGUAAAGCACUUUCAGCGGGGAGGAAGGCGUUAAGGUUAAUAACCUUGGCGAUUGACGUUACCCGCAGAAGAAGCACCGGCUAACUCCGUGCCAGCAGCCGCGGUAAUACGGAGGGUGCAAGCGUUAAUCGGAAUUACUGGGCGUAAAGCGCACGCAGGCGGUCUGUCAAGUCGGAUGUGAAAUCCCCGGGCUCAACCUGGGAACUGCAUUCGAAACUGGCAGGCUAGAGUCUUGUAGAGGGAGGUAGAAUUCCAGGUGUAGCGGUGAAAUGCGUAGAGAUCUGGAGGAAUACCGGUGGCGAAGGCGGCCCCCUGGACAAAGACUGACGCUCAGGUGCGAAAGCGUGGGGAGCAAACAGGAUUAGAUACCCCGGUAGUC
rnacentral:rRNA from 1 species